UCCUUUAAUAGCCUUAAUGGAAAACCAAGUAAUGACAUUAAAAGAGAAAGGUAUUGAUGCUGAAUUUCUCUCCUCAACAAUAUCAACUGAUGCAAAAAAUAAGGUGAAGUGAUAAAAUACUUUCAAAUGAUUUAUCUUUGUUUAUCAGUUUGAAUA